rnacentral:misc_RNA from 1 species
GAUGAAGAACGUAGCGAAAUGCGAUACUUGGUGUGAAUUGCAGAAUCCCGUGAACCAUCGAGUCUUUGAACGCAAGUUGCGCCCGAAGCCACUAGGCCGAGGGCACGCCUCCCUGGGCGUCACACGCCGUUGCCCCCCCAUCUACUCCUUCGGGAUUGCGGGGGGGCGGAUGAUGGCCUCCUGUGCGCCUAGCCGCGCGGUUGGCAUAAAUACCAAGUCCUCGGCGACGCACGCCACGACAAUCGGUGGUUGCGAAACCUCGGUUGCCCGUCGUGUGCGUUCGUCGCGCAUCGAGGGCUCGAAAAAAUGCUCGGCUCCGGCUGGGCUUUCAACGCGACCCCAGGUCAGGCGGGGUUACCCGCUGAAUUUAAGCAUAUCAAUAAGCGGAGGA